UACGUAGGGGGCAAGCGUUGUCCGGAAUCAUUGGGCGUAAAGAGCGUGUAGGCGGCUCGGUAAGUCCGCUGUGAAAGUCCAGGGCUCAACCCUGGAAUGCCGGUGGAAACUGUCGAGCUAGAAUCCGGAAGAGGCGAGUGGAAUUCCUGGUGUAGCGGUGAAAUGCGCAGAUAUCAGGAGGAACACCAAUGGCGAAGGCAGCUCGCUGGGACGUGACUGACGCUGAGACGCGAAAGCGUGGGGAGCAAACAGG
rnacentral:rRNA from 1 species